rnacentral:rRNA from 1 species
CAAAAACAUSUCCUUUUGUUUAUAAAUAUAAGGUCUAACCUGCCCAAUGAUUAUUAAAUAAUUCAAUGGCCGCGGUAUUUUAACUGUGCUAAGGUAGCAUAAUCACUUGUCUUUUAAUUAAAGGCUAGAAUGAAUGGUUGGACGAGGUAUAAGCUUUCUUUAAUUUAGUUAUUGAACUUAAUUUUUUAGUUAAAAAGCUAAAAUUUUUUUGAGGGACGAGAAGACCCUAUAGAUCUUUAUAUUUAUUUUUAUUAUAUAUUUUAGUGAAUUAAUUACUUUAAUAAAUUUAUAUAUUUGGUUGGGGCGAUUGUAGAAUAAUAAUAACUUCUAUUUUUUACUUUUCAUUAAUUAUUGUAUUAUUGAUCCAUUAAUAGUGAUUAUAAGAUUAAGUUACCUUAGGGAUAACAGCGUAAUUUCUUUGGAGAGCCCAWAUCGAUAAAGAAGUUUGCGACCUCGAUGUUGGAUUAAAAUAAGUAUUGGGUGUAGGA